AGCUGCUAGUGGAGUCCCGCUGCUUGGCGGGCUCUCGGUCGGGUUCCCGCGCCGGGCAAGGGGCGGCUGAGGAAGCAGGAGCGGUCUUUAGCCCCUCCAGCGGCAACCCCAGGCCCCGGCCUGGUGGAAGAUAUGAAGAGAAAUGCAAUUGGUUUCCACAGGGCUACGGGUCAAAGCGGCUGCCAAGGCCUGUCCCCUAGAAGUCAGGACCCCUUCGUCCUCCGCUCACCUGGCGGCCAGCUCCUGGCGUUUCCGGACACUUAGAUUCCUGCCUGCUUGGGAAAGCGAUCAGAAAAAGGUUGCCCUUCUCACCGCUCUGCUGAACAGCGACGGCUUCAGAAACGCAUCCCAUCCAAGAGUCACUGGCUUGUAACAUGAAGCAACUUUUUUUUUUUUAAUACGGGGUCUCGCUCUGUUGCCCAGUGCAGUGGCACGGUCUCGGCUCACUGC
rnacentral:lncRNA from 10 species